CCUACGGGCGGCAGCAGUGGGGAAUAUUGCACAAUGGGGGUAACCCUGAUGCAGCGACGCCGCGUGAGUGAAGAAGUAAUUCGUUAUGUAAAGCUCUAUUAGCAGGGAAGAAAAUGACGGUACCUGAGUAAGAAGUCCCGGCUAAUCACGUGCCAGCAGCCGCGGGAAUACGUAGGGGGCACGCGGUAUCCGGAUUUACUGGGUGUAAAGGGAGCGUAGACGGCAGUGCAAGUCUGGAGUGAAAGGCGGGGGGUCAACCCCCGGACUGCUCUGGAAACUGUACUGCUGGAGUGCAGGAGAGGUAAGUGGAAUGCCUAGUGUAGCGGUGAAAUGCGUAGAUAUAAGGAGGAACACCAGUUGCGAAGGCGGCUUACUGGACUGUAACUGACGUUGAGGCUCGAAAGCGUGGGGAGCAAACAGGAUUAGAUACCCGGGUAGUC
rnacentral:rRNA from 1 species